GACGUAGGGCGCGAGCGUUGUCCGGAUUUAUUGGGCGUAAAGAGCUCGUAGGCGGCUUGUCGCGUCGACUGUGAAAACUCGGGGCUCAACUCCGAGCUUGCAGUCGAUACGGGCAGGCUAGAGUUCGGUAGGGGAGACUGGAAUUCCUGGUGUAGCGGUGAAAUGCGUAGAUAUCGGGAGGAACACCAGUGGCGAAGGCGAUCUUCUGGACGGAUACUGACGCUGAGGCGCGAAAGCUAGGGGAGCAAACAGG
rnacentral:rRNA from 1 species